rnacentral:lncRNA from 1 species
UUCAGCAUUAUGCAAUAUAAAUGUAUAAAUUAGAAAAAAAACCCAACAAGAAAUCAAUAAUAACCCAGAAGUCGUUAGAAUGUAUAGUAAUGGACAUAUAUUAAAACAAUAACCAUCUGUAGCCUAACAUUCAUCAUGCAAUCAAUAAUAACAGAGAAAUCUAUGGAAUGUAUAGUUGUGUGCAAAUUAUUAAAACAAUAACAGUCUCUAUCAUAAUGUAUGUUUUGCACUUACUUGAAAUGAUGCAGUCUCCCAUGGUCAAAAAUUUCAUUCAAUUUUUAUUAGAUAGUAAAAUGUCAAUGAUGCAUUCCUUAAUAUACUGCAUAUUAGUUACAACAUAUUUAGAAUAAAGAUAUGUAAC